GAUGAACGCUGGCGGCGUGCCUAACACAUGCAAGUCGAGCGAUUUACUUCGGUAAAGAGCGGCGGGCGGGUGAGUAACGCGUGGGUAACCUGCCCUGUACACACGGAUAACAUACCGAAAGGUAUGCUAAUACGGGAUAAUAUGCUUUAGUCGCAUGGCUGAAGUAUCAAAGCUCCGGCGGUACAGGAUGGACCCGCGUCUGAUUAGCUAGUUGGUAAGGUAACGGCUUACCAAGGCGACGAUCAGUAGCCGACCUGAGAGGGUGAUCGGCCACAUUGGAACUGAGACACGGUCCAAACUCCUACGGGAGGCAGCAGUGGGGAAUAUUGCACAAUGGGCGAAAGCCUGAUGCAGCAACGCCGCGUGAGUGAUGAAGGCCUUCGGGUCGUAAAGCUCUGUCCUCAAGGAGGAUAAUGACGGUACUUGAGGAGGAAGCCCCGGCUAACUACGUGCCAGCCGCCGCCGUAA
rnacentral:rRNA from 1 species